rnacentral:lncRNA from 1 species
GGCGGUCAGGUUUCCUUUUGACAAAUCACUCCCUGCUGGCUUCCCCAAUUGCUCUGCUGACUGUGUAAAAUCUAAUAUGUCAUCAACAACCUGGAAGGAUAAACCGAGGUUCUUGCCAUAUUGAUACAUAUGCUCACAAACAUCACUAUCAACCCCACUAAAAAUGGCAGCUCCUUUUGUGCUAGCAGCAAUUAAAGAAGCUGUUUUAUAGUAGCUCUUGAUCAAAUACUCAUCAAGUUCAACAUCACAGUCAAACAAGCUGGACGCCUGCUUUAUUUCACCACUAGCAAAAUCUUUAAUAACCUGCAAUCAUUAUCAACGAUUAUACAAAUGUGCAUUAGGGUUAUAUUUACUUCAUCAUUUAAUUCAAAGACAAGAUCAGGAUUAAACAAGGCAUGUAUACAUACUUGGCUGAUGAGUUUGAUGACUUCAAGGUUUUCAAGAUUAGCCAGGUACCAUGAUGACUGUGCAAACAUGAAAUCCCCUGCCAAUACAGCAACUCGGGUACCAUAAAGUUGAUGAACGGUUUCUUGUCCUGCAUACAAACAACUUGAGAUUCUUAGUAAAGAUCAUUCGUCAGUCGCUAAGGAACCAUAAUGAUUAAAAAGUCGAAACCUUCGUAGGUCGUGGCUUACCUCUCCGCAUAUCACUUUCGUCAAGUACAUCGUCAUGUAUUAAGCUUGCCGUAUGGAUCAUUUCAAUGAUCUCUGCUAAGCGUCUAUGCUCUUUGGUAAGUUCCCUAAAUUUCAAACAAUUUGUUAUCAAUACUGAUGCCGAGUUAGUUCUUUAUACCAGUGAUUAUGCAAAUAAGAUAGUCCACUAUAACUUACUUCAAGCCUACAAAUUCUGCCGUGGCUCUUGACACUAGGAACACCAGAGCUGGUCUCAUCCUCUUUCCACCAGCACUAAAGAUCUGUUCAGCUGCUGACAUCAACACUGGAUUUUCUGCACCAACAAUCUAGCAGCUGAACUUCAUCAGAUACACAGCAUGUAUGGAGAUGUGGAAGAGAGCAAAAACAUAUUAAAGAAUCUUAUUGAAGAUUAAAAAUCAGUGUUAAAAGAGGCCCUUUUGCAUUGAAGGCAGAUGAAUGCAAUACAACAAUUUGUAGAGAUCAAGGAGUCCAGGUUUAGGUAAACAUAAUAUAUGUAUAGUAAAUAAAGGCAAGCUAUACUAGUCGUAAUUCAAUUGCUACUAAACUGUAACCUAACAUAUGAAAAUAGGACAGUGUUCUGUCAAAAAAGAACAGGAAUGCAUUAUCAACUGUUUACAGCCUAAACCACUAGAGUCAAUUGCAUGAAUAUAACGGUAAACAAUACCUUUGAUAUACCAUCAGGAAUUGUAACUACUUCUAGGACAACACUACUUUUUCUUUUUUUUGCUAAAUUAGUACAACACUUGCUCCAAGUUCAACCAAGUAUUAAACAAAGUCACCACAUGCGUAGAAAACAAAGAAGUUUUUCAUCCAUCCAAUAUCAAAAUUAAUGGAUGGCCAACUAGAAAUGCAAUAAUUUUAACUUGUAUUAAGUACUGUCCAGAAAAUUAUUCAAAUUAACCAAAGCUGCAAUCAGGUUUGUCUAUUUUCUCACACAACAAUUCAAAAUACUGGUUAUUUGCCUCACCACUACUCCAUCUUACAUUUUGCCAUACCAGUCACUCUCACUCACUAUUGCAGUUGCCAAUGCAUAAAAUUGCUCAGAAUUUACAGUUACAUUUCAUAAACCUAACAAAAUCAAACUGCACGUACAAUAGAGUCUUGAAAAGUAUUUAUUAGCUUCCACAAAGCACCUGGCUUUGACAGUUAUGAGUUAUCACAUAAAAUGUUUAAGUGUAAACUGCAAUGGUAAUACCACAGGACUACAAUUCAAGGCAUACAAAUACAAAAAAACAUUUAUCGCAUACUCACCGACUGUAAAUUGUUGUUCAAUACCAACAAGUCAUCAGCAACAAUUUCAAACAAAUUCUUCACUGAAACUGACUUCGAGUUUCUUGAUUCUGUUUUAAGCUCAAUUACUGGUGCAGGAACUGAUUCAGCAAAAACAAGACCAAACUCAAUCAAGACCACAACUUUAACAACUAAAAACAAUACAAACAAACAAACACAAUCCACAAAAUAGCAAUACCAUUCACAAAAGCCUCAGGGGUUUUGGUAGAAACAACUCUACAGCUACCAAAGUCCCUCCUGAAACACAGCCAUUUUCUAGCUCCAAACUCAUAUUUAACCCUCCUAAGCACACCCUUUGAAGAAUUCCUCACCAAAUAUGAAGCAUUUGAAGAACAGCCACAAGCCACAAAAUCUAAACCACUUCUUCCAAACUCCAGAUUAUGGCUUGUCAUUGACAACAUCUUGAGCAAAACCCAGUUUUUAAAAAGCCCAAAAAAGCUCUCUUUGAUCAAGAAAAUCAGACAACAGAUACAUACAAACACACCCACCAAGUGUAUGCAAGUAUAUAAACAAGAUGCAAGUGUUUAUGUCCUCAAGUUAAAAGCUUUAAGCUUAAGGAGAGAUGUGGCCUAAUAUAAAUAUACUAAGAAUAUGAGUGGAUUCAAAAUGCCCACAUAGGGAAUUUAUAAUUUUUGGGUUUUCGACAUUUGAUCAAGAAAUUUGAGGAGGGGAAAUACUGAUGUUUUUGACUUUCUUCCUCUGUAAAGGCCUUAUCCCUGGGUCAAAUUUCUUUUAUGUGAUCUGUAUUUUUUUGGUUUUUGAUUUAUUUUUGGUGGAUGAUUAGAAGCCAAGGAAAAGGUAUAUACCGGAGAACAGUGUAUAUAAUUGAUAUUUUGUACAUAAAAAGAAUCUUGAAUUUAAGAAUACUAGUUGAAAUAAUUAUUUACUUGUUUAUAUCCUUAAAAAAAAUUAUUUACUUGUUUAUAUAAUUUUUCUCGGAUUGUUUUUAUGAAAUAAAUAUUAGCUGUUUAAAUUUUAAUUGAUCUGUUAUUUAUGUUUUUAUGAAAAAAUUAUAUAUUUUUCUAAACACGGGAAAUAUAUGAAAUGGGAGAUUGUGUGAGGCCUGAAACUGGGCUUCAGAAUAAUAAACCAGAUAAAUCUAACUACAGUAGAAACUCUUUAAAUUAAUACUCGAUAAAUUAAUAAACUCUCUAAAAUAAUAAAUUUGUCCGGUCCCGACUUGGGCCAAUGUAAAAAAAUGAAAAACUCGAUAAAAUAAUAAGAUAAUAAUUUUUUGGGAGAUCCCUUUAUAAUUUUCGGUCCCAAGAAAAUCAUAAAUUAAUAAUUCACAGAAACUGAAAAAAAUAUAUUAUACUCUAUUGAAAUAUAUUACAUUUACUAUACAGUUCUUCAAAAGUCAUUAUUGAUUUCUUAUACAUUUGAACACAGUAGUUACUAAUUUACGUUGUCAAUAUUGAUUUCUAAUAAAUAUGAACAUAAUAGUUACUAAUUUACAUUGAGUCCCAAGGUUCGUUGUAAGUUAAUUCUAAGAGGCAUAAACUAAUUUGUCUUUUUGUUUGGUAUGUCGGGUGUAAUCGGUUAAAAACUCUUUAAAUUAAUAAUUAUUAAUUUAUUGAUAAAUUAAUAACUCUCUAAAUUAAUAAAUUUCUCCGGUCCCGACAUUAUUAAUUUAUAGAGUUUUUACUGUACACAAUAUCGGUUGACUGAGUGCAAAGUAGAGAUCUUUGAUCUUUAUUGUAGGAACAAAAUUUACCGGGUUUUUCUAGGUGAUCUGCAUAAUUUUAAUAAUAAUUCUUUGUGCUGAUUUUAGACCGUUGAUUUUAUACCAGAGCAAUGUUGGAGCUCUCAAAUUUCUAUUCAUCGUCCAUAUAUAUGAUAUUUAUCUUAUUUCUGUUUAUCAUCCAUAUAUUUCACAUUUACUUUUGUCAGGAUUUGCUUUUAUAAUUUUAAGAUCAUCUUCUCAGCAAUAUCCUCCAAGCUGACAGACCUGCCUUACAUGGCUUGGGCCAGAAAUCGGAUCUUGCAUAAAGACUAGUCGGGUCAAAAAUGGACAAAUGAAUCCAUUUAAUGAUAUGAAUGUUUUAUCGUCCGUCCCAAUUCUGUAUACAUUUUACUAUUUGAUACGUAUUUUAGUAAUUUUAUAAAAUAUCGUGUAAUUUCGUGUUCGUGUACUUUCAUGUUUCGUGUAUCAAAAAUCAAAACUCAUAUCCAUUUUUUUCGUGUCAUUUCGUUUCGAGUGUUCCGUGUCAAAGAUGCAGUCGAUGGAAAAGUAACAAGUACAAAGAUGCAGAGCAGAAUCAUGAAUCAAUUUUUUUUCCUGACCAAUAUCUCUCUGUCUAUGUAGAAAGUUGUAUGGGACCGACAUUUUACAAGUCUGUCAGUCACUAUGAACCAUUUCAAUUUCUUGUAAACGCAGGAAUGAAAAAAGAAAAAGAGCUUUGAUCUCAGCUGCCAAUCCCAUAUAUAUCAAGUAUAAAUCCACAAAGUGUGGCUUAUGGUAACAAGAAGAAGAAGAAACUUAAUCAUCUAAUCCGGCCAAUUGCAUUAGAAGAAUUUGUAAUCUAAAUAGGCCUUUCUACGCAGCUUCUCUGAUCACCAACUCCAUUCACUCAUAAACACAGCUACUAUAACCUGCAAAUCGAUUAGAGAAAAGACGAACAUUUCUGUCAUCAGCUGCGGUGCUAGGAAGUGAAAAAACAAAGGACUUUCGAAGAAGGGGAAUAUGGACUUACUUGGAUCCGUUAUGGUAACGAGACCAGAUCCCCCGAAAUGGCAGUUCCACUGGUUUCUUCCCUUGCACUGAUAAUACAGAUUCAUCACCACUGAGGCAUGGUUUAUGAGACUCUCUGGGGAGAAACAAGGACAACCCUUCUUUAUAAGGCUGCAGUCUACAUGUUCACAUGCAUAGUUGAUGUUGGCUUGCAGAGUGGCUUCGUCUGAUGAUGGCUUUGCCACACACCAUGUUCUCUGCACAACAAAAAUUGAUAAUUAGUACAUGUAUAUGCAUGUAUGUCGCGAAAUUCCUCUACGAUGAUUGAUACAUAUAAAUCCCUCUCUUGGAGCGUGACGAGAUAACCUAGUGAUAAAGGCUUAUUCUCUGAGUUCUUCAACGAUGAUUAGUACAUAAAAAUCCGUCUGUUGGAGGAUGGCGAGAUAAUCUAAGCUUAUUUGUGGGUUCCUCUACGAUGAUUAGUAUAUAAAAAUUUCUUUCGAGUGUGACAGGAUAAUCUAGUUAUAAAAAUUUAUUCUCUAUUGUCUCAGGUUCCCAGUUUGAUUCUGACCGAUCCCGAUCCCGAGAUUUACCAAAACUACGUAUAGUCAUAUAACCUACUUUUAAGAAAAAACUCUUUGUAGUAUAGAAAUUCUUGAAGUUACCUGUCCAUCAGCCGAUGUAAAAGUGAACGUACCAACUGCAAAAACAGAGUAUUUUAGAAAAACCAAGAAUUUCAAUUAUAUACACCAGAUAAACACAAGAACAAAAAAUGGUUACUGCAGAAUCAGCUUUUAGAUGUGGCCCUGAAAUAUAUGUGAUGUGAAUGUACCUGAGAUGAUGAAGAGGAGGAGAAGACAAAGAGAGAAUUGUGGUGCUUUUGCCAUUUUUUAUGCUACUGUUGAUCUGGGAAAUAGUACUAGUGAUAUUUUGGCUUGGGGAGAGGUAAGGUCUUUGAGGUUUUAUAUAUGGAGUGGUAAUAACGGCUAUAAUUACUAAUCAGCCGUUACAUGGAAAUUAAUGGCCUUUUGGUGGAAAUAAGGACAACGAAAGGAGCUGAGAAGGUUGCUUCUUGUGAGUUGUGAUGUGUUUUGAUGUGACUUCUCUCUUUUCUAAUUUUUUUGUACUGCUCAUUAUAAGAUGUAAUCAUAAUAUAUUUCAGAAUGAUAAGAUUAAUAAUAUAAUAUGGGUUUGUCUAGUGUGUGCCCAUGGGCACACAUUAUACACUAAAAUUGAUGGUUUUGGUGGAUUUUGAUUGGUGGACUUGACGUAAAUGCAGGGGGGCCAUCUUUACUUAUGAUUAGGUGACCAAUAACAAUGCACCAAACACAUAGGAGUUGGUGCUUAUUGUGUGCCCAUGGGCACACCAUAGAAAAACCGAUAUAAUAUUAUUAUUAUCGAUUAUCAAAGUCGGUAUGAUAUACGUCGAUUUUAGUGCUUUGAUUGGGGACCUGAAAAAUUAUAGAAUAAUUAUUUUUAUGAGUUGGAAUGAAUAAUUUAAUGGGAUUAAUGCUUGAGCAUCAAUCCCAACAUUUUCAAUUUAAUGAAUAUACGACAAAUAUUAGCUAAAAACUUUGAUUUUAAAUAUAUAUUAUCGGGAUUAUAGACAAUAAUAUAGGGUACAAUAAUAUUGAUUUAAAUAAUUCUUCUGGUUCAUGAAUUUAGUGAAGAUGACAUGAAUCCAUAUUCAAUGGCGGUGCCAGCUUUGAAAUAACAACUUGAUUCUUGUUCGUUGUUCCUACUUUAAAAAUAAAAAUAUAAAAAAGAUACAAUUACAAAUAGGUGAUCCCGAAACAAGAGCAAAGUAGCUUUACAGGAUAAAGUUUGGAGGGCCAUUGAGAUUGGCUGCAAGAUCUAAUAUUGUAGUGUUAUACACUUCUUCCUCAGCUCCAUGUGAGCUUGACACCUCAAAGUUGAGUUGGAUGCAAUUUUUAUAUAUGUCAAAGUCGAUUUUGGGAGACUAAAGAGUGAUUAUUACUUUAGGUGCAUGUGAGUAUGUAUGGUGACCAUGAGAAGGGCAGUUCAGGUUUUAGACGAGUUUAAUUUUUUGAAAUUUUAUAGAUUCACUUUAGGUUUUGUCUAAUCUUCAAGUUUUGGAAAAAAAGGUGAUAAAAAAUUGGAGUCAGCGUAAAAUCAAAUGGAGUGGAGAGAGGAGCUCAAAUAUCGGAGACCACACAAGCGCGGACCAAAUGGGCACAAUAUUAGGAUCCAGUAUACAGACCCAAGAGCGUUCGCUGAAUUUACAAAAUUCAGACAGAUCUGGGCCAAGCCCAAGCCCAAAUCCAAACCGACCACCAAAUCCAUUCAUCAAUGCGCUCUUCACACAAAAAGAAAAACCCCGUAUCAAAUAUGCAUAAAAGAAAAACCCAAAACAAUCCCAUUAGUAAGCCGGUAAGCCCACGCUUGUAGUUCUUAGAGCAUCUCCAACCACGUUGGCUAUAAUCGUUGGCUAAAUUAGACCUUUAAGAUAUUAUGUAAAAUUUGCUGAAUCUGUAAGAUAUUUUGCUACAAUGGUACCGACUAUAUUGGUUGGCUAUAAUUUAAAAAUAGUAUGUUAUUAAUAUUUUAAAUUGUUAAAAUAGAAUAUAUCAGUUCAAUAUGGUAAUAAAUGAUGUACAAUCUUCCUACAGAUUUUCUUACAGACCUGUAGAGGUUCGACAAAUUUAGCCAUCCAUAGAAGGUUGGCUAAAUUUAUAGACAACAGCUCAUCAUGGUUGGAGUUGAGUUUUUGGAGCUGUUGGCUAAAUCUUUUUAUUUUAAGUAUCUGAACUCACCUUUUAGACAAGGGUUUUAGAUGGUUGGAGAUGCUCUUACGUCAGCCCAUGCAAGUUGCUGUAAUACAGUUGCAUUUGCGUGUUCGAAAUACCUUUUUUUUACAUGUAAUUUUGCUUUUUAAAUGUUUCAAAAAUUCUUGAUUAGUUAAAAUUUCUGAUUAAUUUUGAAAAAUUAUUUUACUGAUCUUUAAAAUUUUUAAAAAUUUAUAUUACUGAUCUAUGAAUUACAUCUAAUUUACCAAAAAUAUUAAAAAAAUCUUCGAUAAAUCCCGAUUCAUUAAUUCAAAUGAUUAUUUAUUCCUAAUUUUUACGAAGUUUUUACACACGGACACACGGUUCGUAUUUUGAUCUUUAAGUCAAAACUGUUUUUGGGAAUAAUUUUGUUAUUAGUUAAAUUUAAAUCUCUACCGACUUCCCAGGAUGAAACCAGACUCAAAAUUCUGAGAUUCUUAUGAUUUAGCCAGGACAAUGCAGUAGCUUUUUCUUUCUAAACCCCCAGUGGAACUUGGAGUCAAAUAGUCAGUUUUCUUUGUUAAAACUUAAAAGUAAAGAGCCAAUCAAACAACCCAUCAUAUCAGCUCCAUUGGUGAUUUUCCUAUAGUUCUUGUAUAACAAAAAUCUCAAAAACAGAGCUUGAGAUUAAUCAUAGAUCAUGUUUUAUUUUCAAUUAAAAAAAUGUGAUAAAAUAAAUUCUGACCUUUUUCGGGUUUAAUUGAAGUACACGAACUGUUUUUGAACUGGAUUUAAGAACUGUUUUCGAACUGGAUUUCGCGGAUUUUAGCAGAUAAUUUAACAGUGCAGGAAUAUCUUUUUGUUACAAAAUUCUUUAUCGCCAGUUUUUACUUGGUUUUAUGAAUUCUUAUGGGUUAUCAUGCAUGCAAAAGAUUAAAGAGGUGUACGGCUUCACCUUUUUCUUUUAUUUGCUAUUCAUCUGAUUCGUGUAUGUUUUAGUCCUACCGUCCUAAAGCCAAGGCCACCUUGCUACACUUUUCGUUUGUCUGGAGAUAAUGGUGGAAAAGAUCAGAGCCGCUGUGGGAGCGUUUGGAUCGUCACGAGAAUAAUGGUCAAUGAGAAUGAGAAUGAUAUGAAAUUUCAAGAACCCCGAUACUCUUUAAUCAGACUAUUAAUCAUUAAUCAAUUGACCACUAUCAUAUAUCCAAUGCCUGGCACCCUUAAUUUUGUCAUAUACAUUUUGGAGAUAUUGUUUUAAUCUUUCCUCCGACAAGAGUGUUAUGCAUGUCAUGCCACGUGGUAUUUGGCAACCUUCGACACCAGCUAUAUAUCGGAGUUGCUAUUAAUAUGCUCUUUAGCUUUUUGUAUCGGUGUAUCCUCUUUGCAGAGACAUUGCUGAAUCAUUUGAUGGUACAUUUUAUGCACAAAAAGAGUGACUACAUUAGUCACCAAAAGAUGCUCCCCACAGGUGUAUGCUACUAUGCCAUAUAAGGCAUUCAGAACAGAACUUUAUACGUCGCCACAGACAUCUUUAUAUCUUGUCACCGAAGACAACUCCCAUUUUCGUUAUUAAUUUGUUCAAACAUAUCACUCUCCUCAUCUCUCGGUCUCACGGGAACUUCAGUUUCUCCGCUGCUAUGGAUAGAACUAUCGCUAUAAUUAUUCUUCUACUUUCUCGUGUAUUUCUCUAUACAAAUUUUUCUAUGAGAAUUCUCGGAGGUUGCAACUGUUCUUUAUGUUUCUCUGCACUUAUAAACCUGUCAACAAUUUCUGAUGAUUUAUUGUUUAUGCAGAGUUUGACAAAUCAGGAGCUUUCGAUAUGGAACUGCUAAACAAGGUAAUCUUAUAUACUUUAUCGAUUUUAUUAUAUAAUCAAGAACGAAGAUACACAGUAACUGUUAAGUUGGGACAGGAAAGAAAAAUUAUUUUAGCGAGUUUAUUAUUACUUGAUAGAGGUUCAACUGUAGUUUGUUUUCUUCAUAAUACUUCAGACUUUUAUGAAGGAUGACUAUGGCCGAAGAACAAAGUUGCACGAAGUACACUCAGGAUCCAAUCCUAUCAGCAAUUCUCUUCCUGUCAAGGGAACUGAGACAUGAUGGACAGGAAGAUCACCCAUCUAUCAGCUGUAUCUACUAUAAACAAAUUAAACUUGAAUUACUUUAUGAUCUGUUUGGUAAGUUGAAUUUCAUUUGAAACUAGAUUUGAUCAAUUGAUAUGUUUGGUUACACAAAAGAAGCUGUAUUUGAAUUUCAUUUGAAAUUCAUAACAUUCAAAUACCAGUAUAAAGUUGAGAAUUUGAAAUGACACCUCAAAUCAUGUCAUUUGAAAUGAAAUACAUGUUCUUAUGUGCUUAUGUGAAUCAAAAAAUUCUAAAAGAACAUUUUCAAUUGAUUGCACAUCCAACUUCUAGAUUAAUUCUGACAUGCACAGCCUGUUGAACUGAAAUCUUUGGCGUAAUUAUAUUUCUUAACCCUGGAUCAUGCAUCCAAAAGAGAAGCUAGAGAGAUUCCAUCAGAUUAAGAUGUUAUUUAUGAGUGAGAGUGAUUUCAAGCGGCAUUUAGGUCAUAAGUAGUGUGAAACUUGCAAAUGUUCAAACACUUAAGAAGGAUAUGAACUAUAACUCUAUGGAAAUUUUCUAAAAACUUAUAAUGCAUUAAUAUUUAAUCAUAAUCCAGCUCCAGCACAAUCAUAGCCAGACAUGUGGAAUAUAGGGCGUGGUUACAAGUUGCAGGUAACGUUAAGAGUCCAGCAAAUUCUUGUAUUAUUGGCUCAUCAGAUAUGCAUGUACCAAUUGUGAAGGGAAAUAGACAAUAGACCUCAUGACAAGUAAUCUCUACCCCAGAACAGCCUCAAUUCGGCAGAGGAUUAUUGUCGGUAUUCACAGUAGAAUAGUAGUCCCCUCAUCAAAGCGUUUCUUGCAUUCAAACCAGUUAACUCAGUUAACUCGCUUAGUAAUAUUAGAUCCUUGUUAUACUCCCCCGUCUCGUCUCGUCUCGUCUCGGUAUACUUGUUUCUUUUAACGAGUCAAAUUGAUUAUAUUUUGACUGAAAUUUUUAUGUAUUAUAUAAUUAGAAAAAAUAAAAAUGGGAUACCAUUGCAAAGUACGACUAGCCUAUUUUAAUUUUAUUUUUUAAAAUAACAAAAAUAUAUACAUUUGAAUAUUUAGUUAAAAAUUGGUCGAUUUGACUUCUAGAAAACUGAAAGUAACAUGUAAUUUGAGACGAAUGUAGUAUGUUUUAUGUUCUGCAGCUGUUUAUAAUUAUGCUCAUUAAUUUGUUCUCUUAAUUGUACUCUAAAAAGAUCUCUAAGAUGCUUUAGGAUUAACAAUUUUAUGUCACUCAGUAAAAAAAUUAUGACAUUUAUUCAAUAGCUCGAAAAACCGAGAUAGAGCUCAAACUAACCAGGAAUACAAAGCACUCAAUACAUGUAGGACUUGUUUUUAUUAGCUGCUAGCUUAGAUAAGUCAUAGAUGGAGUCACUCAGAAGAGAUGAUAAUCCUAGCUCCGCCAAUGGUAACUUUACCUUUGCCGGUUCUCGGAACCAAAGCCACCACCAGAGUUUCGUCACCAUCAGCAUCCAAAUCUUCCAGAAGCUCAUUAAUCCCGAAAGUAAGAGAAGCUUUUGUUCUUAACUUAGAUACGGAAGGUACAUUUGAAAACGUUCCAGCAAACUCUGCAUUGUUAGGUCCGCUCUCAAUCUCAUCUUCGUCAUUGAUAUAAACAUCAAAUUUAACAUACUCGUUUCCAUCAUACUCAAUUCCAUCUAUCACCAAUAUCUCCUCCGCGUCCUCCUUUUCCUCUUUGCUCCUCGACUUCUUAGGCCUUGGAACGGUCACUUUAAUCAAACCGUCCAGCACUUUGGGAAAGACCUCGUCCGCUUUGGGGAAGACUUCCGCAGCAUUCGCCACCCCGGCCUUCUUUCGAGGUGCCUUCCGUGGUGCCCGAGAGUUGAGCCAUUCGAGAGGAACUUUCUCGUAAUCGUAUCCCAGCUUCGAAGAAUCAAGACAGUCUCGAAUCUUGACUCUCACCAGCUUCUCGUUCUCAUCAUAGAACAGAAAAGCCGAGUCCAAAUAAUCAGUCUGAUCGAAAUCUUUGCGAUUUUUGCCCGGGAGGCGCUUCCAAAUAUUCCACAAUCUAUCCACAUUCGCAUGAUGAGAAUAGAAGAUUGGGUCUCGACCAGCCGAAUAGAAUCGUCCCAUGUCCUCUCCAUUAAUUUGGUUUCGGUCCCCCAUUAGUACGUGCACCGCGGUAUGUGGUUGUCUCUCUAUCGUCCCAGGUCCAUUAAUCUGAGCAUCUCCCCCACGGUAGACUUGUCCAAAGAACAAUGUAGGAGUCCUCGCACUCACCAUCGAUGUAUACAUCAAACUCUUAUUCGAUUCGAUAAGUUGCUUGCCGACAGGACUUACAUAGUUCGCCGCAUCCUUAUAAUCGUAGUUGAGAUCCAUCUUUAAUUGGCUAUCGUCAUUCCGUAGUUUAUCAUAGAGCGGAGAGUCCCGAUUGUUGAACAUGUCAGGAACCGAGACCCCGGCCUUCGCAUCCCAGUUCCAAUACGGUAUCGCAAAAUCCGGAUCCCCGAUGAGUUUUCCCAAUAUUCUCUCGUAAAAGUACAAGUACCAUCUGUGAAACGGGAAGAACAGCCAGCUGAAAUGGACGUCGAUUUUCGCAUUCGGGAAGCCAACCAUUUCGUAAGCGGAGUCACAAUAAGCGCAAUGAAUCGCAGCUUGUUGUGCGAAGCUAUGCGGAUGUUCAUUCGGCAGAGAUCUCAUAAUUUUCAGCGCCUUAUUAUACUUCUCAACAUACUUCCUGUUCGCCAAAUGAGCCGCUGGCCUAGUCCGCAAGGAUCUGUAUUCGGGCAGAACAUAAUCACUUAUGUUCGGAUUCGGGGGAGGGCAGCAUUUUUGAUCUUUCACGUUCGUGCAGCUCGGCAAAGUGCCUGCCGUGCUACAAUUCGUCGCGUCCACAGGUGCGGCGAACGCGUCUUGACGCACCGCAGCUGAACCGUAUAAGCCUCCCAGACCUACAAGCACAUCUCUCCGGUCCAAUUUAGACUCGCUCCGCGCCUUGUUCUCGUCUUCUUGUUCUUUGGCAGCUCUGCAUGACAAUGUUUUCCUAAAAUUUAUAUGUUUACGGUUUGGGCGGUUUAACAAAAACCGGGUGGCUGAGGAUUUUUCGGCUGCGGUAGAAUUUGCGUAAAAAUGUGAAGUGCAGGUUGGUAACUGAAGAGAGGCCAUGGCUAAGAUGUUAUAACAUAAUACAAUGUUUAUUUAGAGUCUUCUAGGUAUGUGAAGAGUCGUUUGAAGUUUCUUUCGAGUGCCCUAGGGUUAUAUAGCAAGCUUUUCCCACGUGCUUGUAAAAACCAUUAUUGUGUAAUGGAAAUCUUGUAGUUCUAACAUGAUUUUUAGUUUGAAUGCGGCAUAAAAUGAUAUGAUAAUUGAGAUUGGAUGUUAUAAUUGAUAUAAUUUAUAUGAAUAAAGAGGUCCAUUUCAAUUAAAGAUCAACCCAUCACAUUUUAUUAAAAAAAUUGUACUCCCUUCAUCUCAUCUCAUUUUAAGUGUCUUGUUUGACUUUUGAAUAGUUAAAUUGAUUAAAUUUUGAUUAAGAUUUAUACAUAUAGUAUAAUUUUUAAAAGUAAAAAAAAUUAUGUCAUUAUAAAGUACAUAUGAUAUACUAUAAAAUGUAAUUAUAGUUUUUUAAAAGAAUAACGAAUUUGUUUUUUAUGUUUCGUCAUAAAUUGAUCAAUUUGACCGUUGAAAGUCGAAACAUGACGUUUAAAAUGAGAUAGAAGGAGUACUAAUUUUAUAUAUUUCUCAGUUUUCUUUUUAGUUUUUACUUAAAAUGAGCAUGUAUCACAUUGUUGGCCGUGUAUCACAUUGGUACGUCGUAAUGUCUUUUCUGGGAGGAUACGGUUGUCAAAUUGAAAUGGUUCUUGUUCACUCACGGGAAAUUUCUGUUUCUUGCGGUCCUACUCUUGUUUGAUGCUUCUUUAUUUCUUCUGAAACUUUGUUUGAUUCUGUUUACUGAUAUUUCUCAUAUUUUUUUCUUAUAUGACAUGGAUGAAUUGCACUGUAAUUUAGCGUAAACUAAGCGAACUAGUUUAUGUCAUAAUUUUAAAGUGAGAAUAUUAGCUUUAGGUGAUGGAUUCUCUUAAAAUAUUAGUGAAGUUUUUUUAGCUUAACUAUGAUACACAUAAAUUUGAUUUUCAUUUUUGUAACAAGAAAAAUUUUUUACUCCCUCCGUCCCUAUUUAGUUGUCAUAUUUCUAUUUUUAUCGGUCAAAUUGACUACUUUUUGACCAAAAAUUAUAAUUCACUUUUUCAUUAUUUUAAAAAACUGAAAAUUACAUCCUAAAAUAAAUAAAAAGUUGUUUACGAUGACAUAUUUUUAUAUUUUUUUUAAUUGAUAAAAUAUUAAUAAAUUUCAGUUAAACUUUGAUCAAUUUGACGAGUACAAACUCAAAUGUCAAAACUAAAAAAGGAUGAGGAGGAGAGAGUAAUUACUCUCGCAUCGGCUUUAAUGUAUGUUAUCACUAUUCUAUGUCAUAAACUAAGCGAACUAAUCUAUGUCAUAAUUUUAUACAGUGGACUCCGAAGUGAACGCUUCCACAGUUCACGUUCACCCAAAGGUGGGAAUAUUAAUCUAUGUAGCAAAGCCAGCAAACAUAUGUAAGGGGGGCCAAAAAAAAUUUCUUCCAUACAUUAAAUUUUUUCAUCAGCACUGUAAAAUAUUCAUUAUAAAAUAAAUACAAAAAUACUAGUAAAAAAAUUAUAGUAGAGCUUGCGUUCUUUUAAAUCAGGAAAUCAAAUUUAUAAUUGUGUCAGGAAAUCAAAUUUAUAAUUGUGUCAACAAAAAUUAUAACUGUGGUACGAUAAAUGUGGGUUAUUGUAGUAAAGUAAAUUUAUAUUAUAUUAAAAAUUAUAUUUUACAUGUAAUAUUAUUUUCUAUUGCACAAUUAAAAUCCAUAUAAAAAAUAAUUUUUUAUAUCUAUUAUUCAAAUAAAUUUAUUUAAUAUUUGGAGUUAGCAAAUUUAUUAUAUCGAGUUUGAAAAAAAUAUUUUUAUUAUAUCUUGUAUGGUUUCUUCUUGUUUUAAAAUAAUAGGAGAAGUCUUUGUGUUUGAAUAGAAUUAGGGGGCAAAUGUUAAUCAAUCAUUAUAGAUUAAUAUUUUAUUGAUAACCUUAAAUUUUCAAAUAUAUAGUUGCAAAACGAUAUUUUUAAAUUAUAUUUUACAUGUAUUAAAAUAUAUAUUGUAUUAAAUAUGAAAUUAUGUAUAUGUGUAUGUAUGUAUGUAUGUAUGUAUGUGUGUGUGUCUAUAUAUAUAUAUAUAUAUAUGUAUAUAUGUAAAUAUUAAUGAUUUUUUUUCAUAUGAUACCUCUUUUUUUUCAAAAAAAAUCCCUUAUGAUGGAAGAAAAAAAAACCUCUUUUUUAAAUAAAUGAUUCUUUUGAUAACGAUACCUCUAUUUCUUCGGAAGAGCUCUUUUUAUUUACAUAAUUGAUAAAUUAUUCAAAUUAAUCUUACUGGUCUAGAAAAAAAUUCUUAAUAAAGAAACCUCAAUAAAAUCUUAAUUAGAAGAUAUUAAAGUAUAUAUUUUAUUAAACAUAAAAAAGAAUAUAUAUAUAUAUAUAUAUAUAUAUAUAUAAUGCAUCUAAAAUAAAUUAUAAAUAAUUUAGUAACUUAAAUUAUAAGUAAGAAAUUAUCCGCCUCUUAUAAAAAUUUUCUUGGCGACUUCUAAAAAUUUAAAAUAGAUUUAAUGUAAGUAUUUUUCACUAUAAUAAUAUCAAUCUUAAUAAUCAACUAAAAAUUGUAGUAAUAUAAAGGUGAAUCGAUCAGAGUAGUAAUAUUUUAUUGAAUAAACAUAUUUUCAAAUAUAUAGUUAAAAAUAAUAUUCAUAAAUUAUAUUUUACAUGUAAUAUUUUAUUGAAUAAUUAAAAUAAAAUCAUAUAUUUUAUAUUUACUAUUCAAAUAAAUUUAUAUAAUAUCCUGAGUUAAUAAUUUUAUUAAACUAAUUUCAAAUAAAAUAAUGCUAUAUAUCUUGUAAAAUAUAUUUUAAUUUCGAAAUAGUAGUAGCAGAGUUUGUGAUUGAAUAGUAAAAAUUAAUAUUUUAUCGAAAAACAUGUAUUUUCAAAUAUAUAUGUUGGGAAUAAUAUUUAUAAAUUAUAAUUUACAUGUAUUAUUAUUUUCUAUCGAACAAUUAAUAUCUACAUAAUAAAAUAAAAUACAUUGAUAUAUUUGCGAUUAUCUGAUAUAGUAAAUUAAUAUUUUAUUAUAUAAAUAAAAUUUUCAAAUAUAUAAUUGAAAAAAUAUUUGUAAGUUAUAUAUAAUAUUAUUUUUAUCGAACAAUUACAAUCUAUUAUGUAAAAACUAAAAUAUAUUUGAUAUAUAUAUUAUUUAAAGAAAUUUAUUUAUACAUAAAGUUAACAAUUUUAUUAUGUCAAGUUUAAAAAAACAAUUUUAUUAUAUAUUAUAUAUUUUCUUUUUGUUUAGAGUUGUAGAAUUAUUUUCAUUUCAAAUCAGUAAAAUUAGGAAAUAGCCUAAAUAGUAACCGCUAUGCUCUAGUAACUGGUCCACACAUAAAGCACGUCUUCCUUCUCCAUCACUUGCACACUCCAGGAAUUGUGAAAAGGACCUUGCAAAGUUAGUAUCAGGGACGAAGCCAGCAAACAUCCACAAGGGGGGCCAAAAAAAUUUCUUCGGCACACUAAAAUUUUUCGUUAACGCAAUAAAAUAUUCAAUAUAAAAUAAAUACAAAAGUACUAGUAAAAAAAAAUUAUAGUAAAACUUUGCGUUCUUUUAAAUCAAGAUAUCAAAUAUAUAAUUGUGUCAACUAAAAUAUUUAGCUAUUUAUCUUCAAAUAUAUAUAAGUAUAAAAUGAUCGGGAAACUCAUCAUAAUAACUCUAAGUUAUACUGUAAUCUUUAAUUAGCAAUUAAUACACAUUAAAUGAAAUUAUAUUAUGAAUAGAAGCAAGUAAAAUUUUAACAAUACCUCAAAAACUACAUAUUAUGCCUAUUAACCUUACAAAAACAACAUAUGAUUAUUUAGAAGAUGACAAGUUAUAGUUUAAACAAGUAAAAAUGUUACUUGGAUGAUGAAAUUUGAAUUGACGAUGAGUAAAAUCAAUAUUAAUAUUAAUAUUAAUUAAAAAACUGAUAAUACACGAGGACUAAAUCUAUUUUACGAUAAUGAGAAGUGAGGUAUAAGUUUCUGAGACCUCCACCAAAGAUUCUUGUUUUUUUAAAAGAACCAUAUUGAUGUUUAACUUUAUCACAUAUUACAUUCUACAUUUUUUUAAAAAUAGUAUAAUUGUAUGUAUAUCCAUAUUUUUGUUUGUUUUUAUUUUUAAAUUCGGUCUAAUACAUGAAUUAGAGAAAUCUAAGAAUUAAAAUGUUAUUUUACAAUGUUAAAUAUUUUUUAGGAGCGAACAGAUAUUUUUUUUAGGGGGGCCAAAUUUUUAUAUUUAUAUAAAUAUGUAGAUAAAAUACAAUUUUUUCAAAAUUAUAUAACACAAAUUAUAACAUUAUGGAAACCCUAGGGGGGGCCAUGGCCCCUUGUGGCCCCUAUGUAGCGAUGUCCCUCCUAUGUAGUUUUUAUUGUUGCCUGUAUCCUUGCGCAAGGACCCGAGAUCCAUUUGAAUUUCAAAUUUCACAAGAAAUAGUACGGUAUUUAUCUUAAAUGCCAUAAAAUCACAUGUGAAUGUCUAUCAUGUCGGUAAUAAUUUACUUCGCUUGUAUACUGGGUGUGGAGUCUGUGGACGCAUAAAUUAAUGAUCUGUUUCAAAGUGCAGUUAAAAAUUAUUGUGGUAUCAGUAAAAAUGUUGAUAAAAGAUAUUAUAAAAGUAAUUUCUGAAUAUAUAUAUAUGUGUGUGUAAAAUAAAGAUAUUGUACGUAAGUAUUAAAUUAUGGAUAUUCUAUUCAUGUUUUAUUGAAUAUAAAACUUUGCAGAAAAAUAGAGCUGUCAGCAGUGUUCUAAAAGUCGGCGAUUAAUCGGGAUUAAUCGCCGAUUAAUCGUUGUUCGGUCGGUCACCGUCUCGAUUAAGCGUUAAUCGGUGAAAAAAUCGUUUUUUCUGAAAAUCGGGAUUAAUCGGUCAAAAGUCGGGAUUAAUCGGAAAAAAUCGGUCAAAAAUCGGUGAAUUUAAAAAAAUUUAAAAAAAAGUGAAAAAAUUUUAAAAUUUUAAAUUUAAUUUUAAAUAAAAUAAAAGGCACCGAAAGACAAAACACAUAAAUUAAAUUUGUUUUUAUUACCUUUCACUCUUUUAAUAUUAACUUCCAAACUCUAAUUACUUAAAUUUGCAAUAUAUAUUCCUUAGCAGAUUGAAUCAAAUAUAUGAGAUGACUAGGCUUGUAUAUGUAUAUAAAGGCAUGUUUUGGGUUAUAAAAAAUCAUUACUCUUUUGAUUUUAUAUGAUUAUAAAUUUAUACUAUAUAUAAUUUUAUAAAUAUAUAUAUAUAAUUUAAAAAUAAUAUUAAAUUGAUUACGAUUAAUGAUCCGAUUAAUCACUCCGAUUAAUCUCCGAUUAUCCGAUUAAUCGCUGGACGGUGCCCUCACCGACUAAGUCCGAUUCCCGCUUUUUACAACACUGGCUGUCAGUAUGAUUGCAAUUUUCUGCUUGAAGAGUAUGAAUUUUCUUUCUUACUCCCUCUGUCCCUCUCAUUUUUUUACGGUUACUAUUUUGGGAUGUCACUCUCAUUUCUUUACGUUACUAUAAAUAGUAAGUUUUUUCAUCAUUACACCCACUAUUUUCCUCCCACUAUCUCAUAUUUAACAAUAAAAACUACUAUUACACCCACUACUUUCCUCCACUAUCUCAAAUCUAUUAUUAAAUAUUGAUGGGUCCCACCACUUUACUCAUUUUUCAUCUAACUUUACUCAUUUUUCAUACAUUGUCUUGGUCUCCGUGUCCCCCUCCAAUGUAAACAAUUGAGGGGGACGGAGGGAGUAUUGUUCUUCUAUCUCGUCCACGUUUUAUAUGAUAUUAUCCCUGCAAUGCCCACUUAAAUUCAUGUCCAUCUCUGUAAUGUGAAAUGCAUCUCGAUCCAGCUGCAGGAGCCCAAUUGGUCUCCAAUUAUUAUGUUUUCAAAUAUUAUAAGCCUGUUAUAUCUGGUCCGGUUUCUAUCUAGUCCAGUUACGAUUUGGAGUCCACGUUCGUUUCAUUAUCCAAGGUUUCUUAUUUUUUGAUAAUACUCUCUAAUUUUUACAAACACUAUCCAUAUAUUUGUAUAUAUAUGGUAGUGUUUUUCAUACAAUUAGAAUAUUAGUCCCUUCAUUUCAAAAUAAUAAUUAUUGAUUAUUAUAUAUUUUUACACAUAAUAUGAGAUGACAAAAAUAUUUCUAUAUAUCAUUUUCAAAAUUUCUCUUUUUGAUAAAAUUAUAAAUAUUAAUUUUAGGAAAAUAUUUAUAUUAACAUAUGUUUUCCAUAAGUAAAUAAUUUAUUUUUAAAAAUAAAUAUACUGUAAAGAAAUGGGAGGGACAGAGGGAAUAGUGAUUAAAAUGAUAUGAUGAAUAGUAGCUACAUGUAAUUAGCUCAAUAUUUUACUAUAGUUGAGUCCAACUGCAUUAAAUUAAUUCUGGAAUAUGUUGUCUCUACUGUUUGGAACGUAGCAUAUAUAGAUCAUGCCGCAAAGAAUUACAAGAAUAGUUGUGUAAAGAUAGGCAGCUCUGAGGAUUAAGAGCUGAAGAAGAGUCAUAGCUAUAGCUAUAUGUAAUUAAGAGGUUAAUUAGUGAAAGAAAUUUUUUUGAACGAAAGAAACUCCUCGGAGUAUUGGCGUUUUAUCGAUACGAGCAAGUGAAUUUUUUGUAAAAAAAAAAAAGUUAAUUAGUGAAGAUUCAUCUAAAUGUCAUGUGCUAUAUACAGCAAGUCUGAAAAUAUUCUAACCCUGGCUCCCAUGUACAUGCAUGCCAUCACCUUAAUUCCUUCCUAAUUAUAUCCAAGUUCUUUUAAAAUACCGCAGAGAAUUUGUACGAAAAUUAAAAACAAAGUACAUAUAUAAGCAAAUCACUAACUAGAUUAGAAUUGUACUCCUACAGUCUUAAACUGUCCAAAAGCUCACCAGCCCAAAUUAAUCACGUCGGCUGGGCACCCUUAACUACACUUUGGUCGAACGAUUUAACGACUAAUUAAUUAUUGUAGCAGGUCAUAUUUCAUUUGACCACACAGCUCACCUCUUAAUAAACUACAAAAUACAAUUACAUUAUAAUAAAACGAUAACCAACAUGUGCAAACCCGUAAACCACUCCACCUUACAUGUGUCAACCCUCUGCAGGUAAAAAAAAAUGUUUCUAAAUUUCUAGUUGUAAACUUUAGUUGUUAUUAUGUACUUCCCCUUGAGAGGGACAACUUUUUCACGAAUUUUAUUUAGUUAAAUAUAAUUUAUAAAAAAAUGCAAUUUAAAUUGCAGAUAUAUAGUCAAAUCUCUUGAACAUGCAUGCAUGAAAAAAUAUGUAAAAAAAGUUCAAAUAACUUUAUCCUAGAAAAAGUAUAAACUAAUCGGAAAUGGUAAGAUUACAAUAAUCAAUAUAUAAAUAAACAUGUAAAGAACAGAAAAUGAUACUUUUAUUGAUACCACAUGCAAUUCAAACUGAACACAGGAAAGACACUGAAGUAGUACUUGUUCACACACAAAACAGUGCUUAUUCAAAACACAAAGCUCAAACAGGAUAAAAACAACUCAUCAACUCAAGAAGAGAUGAUAAUCUUGGCGCCGCCAAUGGUGACUUUGCCUUUCCCGGUUCUCGGAACCAAGGCCACCACCACAUUGUCGUCGUCAUCGGCACCAACGUCCUCCAGAAGCUCGGUUAUCCCCAAACUCAUGGACACUUUCACUCUAUUGUUUGAUAUGGAUGGUACAUUUGAAUAUGAUCCCGCAAACUCUGCAUUGUUAGGUCCGCUCUCAACCUCAUCUUCGUCGUUGAGAAACACAUCAAAUUUGACGUACUCGUUUCCAUCGUAUUCAAUUCCAUCGAUCACGAGGAUCUCCUCUGCGUCCUCUUUCUCCUCCUGGCUCCUCGACUUCUUCGGCCUGGGAAUUGAGACUUUGAUUAGGCCGUUCAAUACUUGGGGAAGGACUUCACUAGCAUUCGGAAAGACCUGAGGAGCUUCGGCUGCAUUCGCGACCCCUGCCUUGUUUCCGCGGCCCUUGCCUUUACCCUUAGCUUUCGGGGGAGGCCGAGAGCCGAGCCACGGAAGAGGAACGUCCUGGUAAACAUACCCCAUCUUCUUCGUAUCGACACAGUCCCGGACCUUGACUCUCACGAGCUUCUCAUUCUCGUCGUAGAACAGAAAAGCCGAAUCCAACCAGUCCGGAUCGUCGAUGUCUUUGCGGUUUUUACCAGGGAGCGUCUUCCAAAUAUUCCACAUUCGGUCCACAUUCGCAUGAUGCGAAUAGAAAAGCGGAUCUCGACCCGCCGAAAAGAAUCUCCCCAUGUCCUCACCAUAUUUCUGCUCGGGAUCACCGGUCCAUAUGUGCAGCUGAGUAUGCGGCUGGUUCUCAAUUGCCCCGGCCGCUUUCACCUGCGCUUCUCCCCCGCGGUAGGCUCCCCCGAAGAACAGCUCAGGAGUCUUGCUGCUCGAAACCAUCUGAUUAUACAUCACUUUGUAAUUCGCCUGGAUCAAUUCGUCACCUACAGGACUCGGAGUCGACUUGCUAUAGUUUAGAUCAAUUUUAAGCGGCGGCUGAUGAUUAUCAUCUCGCAACUUAUCAAAUAGUGGAGAGUUGUGAUCUGCAAACAUAGCCGGGAUCGGCAUCCCAUCAGGCGAAUCCCAGUUCCAGUAGGGAAUCGCGAAAGUAGGAUCACCGAUCAAUUUCCCCAAAAUCUUCUCGUAAAAAUGCAAGUACCAUCUAUGAAACGGGAAGAACAACCACGAGAAAUGCACGUCCAUUUUCACAUUCGGAAAGCCCACCAUCUCAUAAGCCGAGUCGCAAUAAGCGCAAUGAAUCGCCGCUUGCUGCGCGAAGCUAUGAGGAUGGUCUUUCGGCAGAGAUCGCAUGAUCUUCAUCGCUUUGUUAUACUUCUCUAUAUAUUUGUUAUCCGCCAGCUGAGCUGCUGGCCUAACCCGCAAGGGCUGAUUAACCGGAAGUACGUAAUCAGUUAUAUUCGGAUUCGGGGGAGGGCAGCAAUUCGCAUCUUUUAUGUUCGUGCAUGUCGGCAAAGUGUCUGCAUUGCCGCACUUGGUAGCGUCCACCGGAGCCGCGAACGCCGCCUGACUCACGGCGGUUGUUCCAUACAGACCUCCGAGACCAAGCAGAAUGUCCCUCCUGUCGAACUUUCCUCCCUCCACAUUCUGGAAGCUUCUAGAUUUGCUCCUAGCAUCUUCUUGGCUACCAUCACUCUCCUUUGCGGCUCUGCAUGACAGGUUUUUCGAGAAGAAACGGUUGCGUUUUUGGUGGUUCAAGAACAAUUGGGAGGUGGAGGAUUUGUCAGUAGUGUUGGCGUUGGUGUGAAGAUUGGCAGCUCUGAGUGGUAGGUACUGCAAAGAAGCCAUGACUAGUUGGUGUGAAGUUUUCUGUCGAUGGCUUAGGGUUUAUAUAGCAGCGAAGUCGUGGAUCUCGAUAAGUUUUCAUACUUGAUUGAUCACUGUAAUUGUUUAUGACAACAUGUGUUAAUUGCUCAAACUAUAACUGUCUCGAUCUAAAUCAUGCAGCGCAAUUAACAGGAUAUGGGUACCAGAAAUAUCAAAUUGAAUACAAAAUUUGAUGUGACAGUUUAUAAUGAUUUAAUUAAAAAUUAAUACAUAUCCAGAUAUUGAUAUAUUAUAUAUAUGAUUUAUUAUUGCUAUUUAAAUUAUUAGUAAGAUUAUAAUUAUUUUUAGAGUAAACUUUAAAGUUGUGGCAAAAGUUUACACCGAUUUUUAAAAAAUUAGUCAGAGUUUCAAAUUCUCAAAAAGAUGACCAAACUUUGGCUCCGCUUUUUAAAAGUGUGGCUCCCGUUAAAUGUCACUAACGGGAGCCUAACAGCAGCCACAUUUUUGAAAAGCAGACCAAAAUUUGGCCACUAUUCUGAGAAUUUGGAAAGAAUAUAAAGAUAAAAAUGAGUUUCAAAUUCUCAAAAAAGUGACCAAACUUUGGUCCGUUUUUUAAAAUGUGGCUCUCGUUAGGCUCCCGUUAGUGACAUUUAACGGGAGCCACACCACACUUUUAAAAAGUGAAGCCAAAAUUUGGCCAUCUUUUUGAGAAUUUGGAAUUCUGACCAACGUUUUUAAAAUCGAUGUAAACUUUGGCCACAAAAUUUGCUCUUAUUUUUAAUUACAUAAUUUAUAUACAUACAUGAUUUUUUAUUAUUAGAGUAAUAGAGUUAGUGAAAUCACGUGCCGUUUAAUAUUAUUUCAUAUCCAAUUUGUUACCUCUAACAUUUUGCUUUAAAAUAAUCCACCUCUGCAUGCGUUCAUAAAUAAAAUAAAAUAAUCUUACUCUGCAUGCCAAUAGAAGCCAUCGCACGUGAAUCUCACUUAAAAAGCAUAAGAAAAUCAGAACUCAUCGGUUCGAUUUAGAAAGGUACUUCAAUUUUAAGUAUUUAUAUUACAUUUUUUAUUAUCUGAUUGAGUACUGUAUCGUGUUAAGCGCAAUGCAUGAUAAAUCUUAAACGUGGUUUAAAUUCUUUACCAAGUCUUUAAAUGAUUGAAUAAAAAUAAUUAAUAUUAAAUUCUUUACCCAGACUUUAAGUGAUUGAAUAGAAAACAAUAUCGCUACAUUAAACAUGCUACGUUUUGACAUUACAAAAAGAUAUGAUAAGAUAUCAUUGGUGGCUUUCAAUUUUUCCGUUGCAGAAGAUUUUGUUUAUUUAAAGUCUCACCUAAUACAUAUCAGUUGUCGGAUCUAUGAAUAAUGAACUUAAUAAUUAAUUAAGCUGAGUAACAAAAAUUUUAAAAAAAAUCAAAAAUAAUAUAAAGUGAUCAGCGCAAAUCUUUUUAUCACAUUCUACUUAGAUUAAAUAUUUAACUAAUAUCAUAAAUAAAAAUAAUAAUCUUCUAUAUCACAACAUUUAAUAACAAAUUUUUAUAAUUGUCACAUAAUACAGCAAUCAUUCAUUCAGUAAACAUCUUUAUACACAUAGUUUUCUCCAUGGUGCAGGGCCGAAUUUUAUUUUUUUAUUUUUAGAAAAUACUUUGUUUUAGUAUAAUAUGGGGUAGUUGGCUGGAUUUUUAAACUAGAUCUUUAUUUUAUAAACGAGAAACGAAGUAUUUGGAUUAUUUAUGUAAUAAACUGAUUAGUUAGCUUCUAUUAAUUUGAGAAUGAAAUUUUCAACUUGUUUUACUUAUUUUAGUUUUUUAAAUUUGACUGUUAAAAAAUAUAUAUAAUUUAAAUAAUAAUUAUUUUAUUUUCUUCCAUUUAAUCAAAAUAUUUAUAUUUAGAUUGGAUUGGGAGAUGGAGAAAGUGAGUAAAAGAAAAAGAUAAGUGUGCAGAGUCGAACCGAUGAUAACGUAUAAACAAAUUAUAACAAUAUAGACAAAGAAACUAGGAGAUUAGUCAACCUGCUAUAUUACCAAACUAAUUGUUUUUUAUAUUACAAAUGCAUGUACAAAUUGUUACUUUAAUAUCCUUGCCGAAAAAUAUUAUUUUGAGCUCAAUAUUUUGUAAAAGUAAUAAAGAGGGCUUUUCAUCCAAUUACUUUUUUUAUAUUGUGGAAGAGUACUUAAAAGUUGAUUAAAUUAGUUAAAUAAAUUUUAAUAUCUCAAAUUAGAUUAAUAAGUUAACUCUGCUCAUGUAAUUUGUACAAUAUUAAUCAUUAAAUUCUAUAUUUACUUUCCUAAAUAUAAAUUAUAUAAUUGUUUGUUUUAUUUGUACAAGAUAUAUAAAUUCAUCUGAUUUAGAAUGAAAGAAACAUGGAGACAAAGAAAAUUUUGAAUGCAUGGAUCAUUUAGACGGGGAGUCGUCUAUAAUUCUCAUAUAUCUUCGAACCUUUCUCCAUUUAGCAGAAACUUUUAAAUAGGCAUAAAUUUUAAACUAAAUAAUUAACUUUUUCGAAAAGUUUGUACCGUCUUACCUUACUCGUAACUAAAUUUUCCGAAAAGACAUGGUUACGCUUUUGGUGUUUCAAAAACUGCGGUGGUGUCGGUGUAAAGAUGGGAAGCUCUGAGUGGUAGGUGUUGCAGAGAAGCCAUGACUAGUUGGUGUGAAGUUUCCUCACAAUGUGUUAGGGUUUAUCGAACACUCUAAUUAUUUACGAUAACGUAUGUUAAAUUGUUAAUUGCUCGUAAACUAUAACGUGUCUCGAUCUAAACCAUGCAAUUUAAUUAAUAAUAAUCCUAUGCAGCGUACGUACCAGUGUCAUUAUCCGAAUCAUGGAAUCCGAUCUUCUAAUAAAAUUAAGAACACCGUUCCAUCUAUUUUUUAUUUUGUAUAUGAGAUUAAGCUCGGUAAAUCUUAAAGAUUUGUGUAGAUCCUGUACCUAAUAACCGAUUCUUUAAAUAAUUGAACAGAAAAUAAUGUCGAUCGAUUAAAAUACUAUAUUUCGACACCGUGGAUAGAUCUGAAACGUCGCUUGAUUAAUUUCUCCGUGCCGAGGAUUUUAGUGUGUGAAGUCUCCCCUAAUUAUAGCACACGUGUCUCAUCUAUAAUCUAUAAUAUUUUAAUAAGUGACAAAUUACUCGUUAAUUAAGCUUAGUAAAAGAAAAGGUCAGCAAUCAAUAAUUAAAUUCAGGAGCCUCAUCAGUUUGCCUGUCUUUCAGCAGCUACAGAAGGUUAUAUAUAAUAAUAUUUGUCACUUCCGAUUUUUCUUCAUUUAUAAUUUAUAUAAUUUUGUGAUUUAUUUUAAUAAAUAAAUCAUAAUUUAGAACAUAGAUGAGAAAUCGAGUGCAUAAAUCAAACUGAAUAAAUCUAGAGUAUACAGUUCUUGACAAGUUUAGAUGUACUUAUAUUAAAAGUUUUUUUGGAAACCCGAUUUAGCACAUGACAGAUAUUAUAGUAUAAACUCUAUUAUAAAAGUUGACAAUAUUUUUUAUUUUUGAAAAAAAAGUUGACAAUAUUUUAUAUUUAAAUAAUUGACAACUUGAAAUUCCUUAAAGAAAAAACAAUAUUUCUGAGGGUGUACAUAAAUGUGCCAAAGAUAAAACUAUCAGUACGUUAUCCGGUGAUUGCGAGAUCCAAUACAGUCUCCAUCUAGAAGUCUAUUUUAUAGAUAAAUAUUAAAUAGAUUCACGAGCAUGGAUAUUAAAUUUACAAAACAUUAAGUUAUCAGGGUCAGCACUCUAUCUAAGUCAGAAUUUCAACAUGGAGUCCUGGGCGUCAGAAAAAACACUUUAAAUUGUUGACAGGACGGUAUUUAUUCACUUAUUUUACAUCAUAUUUAAUAUUUAAUGUUUAUACUUAUCUAAAUUUUUGGUAAUUAUAAUGCUUCAUAUGGAUGAGGGUAUAUUUGAUCCGGACAUUUUUUUUUCGAAAAUUGUCUCGUAUAUCUGUCAGUCAACGUCAAAAUGAUUAUUAUUUCCAAAAAUAAUUUGCUGAAAACUCCGGCAUGGAAAAUCUCUACUCAAAAUUUGUUAGUACUAAACAAUUUAACGGUUGCUUUUGGCCCUAUUUUUUAUUUAUCAAUCCAGCUCUAAGAAAUGAGGGUCGUUAAACAAACAGGCCUCAAGUCGGAAGCCCAGCUGCCAACCCAAAGACCCGCAUAUGAAAUCGCUGGACUAGAAGUACAUAAGGUCCAACCAAACCUUCCCAAUAUUGAUAGGCACGAGAAUGAGUAACGUUUUAUAUUUAUUUCGUAUUAUUAUAUUUUAAUAUUCAACUUAUUUAUAUUUAAAUCACUUAUAGAGAUGAAUUUAGGUCAGAGUUUUUAGGCUUCAAGUUUAUUAAAAAGUUUAGAGCUAUUAACCAAAAAACCUAACUAACUUGUCAUUUUUUUUGCUAAAAAACCUAUAGACCUUUUUUUCACCAAUAACCCCAAUAAACUUUAUUAAAUUUUUGAAAAACAUUUAACUAGAGUUACUUAUAGCUGAUGUGGACUAAUCAUGCUCAUAACAUAUCCUAUGUGGUAAAUUGAUUACAGUUAAUCAAAAAAAAUAAUUGAAAAAUAUAUCAGCACCGCUAAAAUCAGCUUUAAGAUGGUUGAUCAGCAGCUCAUUAAGACAGGGAAGUAAUAGGCUCUCAUUCAAACAAUGAACAGACUGAGACUUGCUCUGCCGCAAUAGUUAUAGCGACUGAAGGCGCGGUGGCAUUCCAUCCCCCUCAUUUCUACGUGGUUGAUUUUCUAUGUAGAAAAAAUGUAUCUUAUGGUGUAUAUUAAUGUGUGAACCUUACUUAGCUACUCGAGCAUAAACAAUUAACCAAGUUUUCAGGUGCAGCUGUGCAGCACAUCAAGCAGCAGAAUGGAAACUCUGAAUUGAGUAAGACAUAUUUUAACCACUUAGCACAAACAAUCCACCAAAAUACAAACAAAUUACUCAACCAAAAAAUUCUAAAAAAAUUAGUCGCCUGAGACACCCCAAGUCCCAACCAAACCUCCGGUGAACUCAGGAAAACAUAAAGUUCUAUCUCCUUAAUUUUGUAUUGAAUGGAAUCAGAAAUAACACCCCAUCUGCUAAUCUUUUCACAUACCAUCUGAUUACGUCAAAAUGAUAACCCCAUUAAUUUAUUUCGAACAUCAACUCAGCUUUUACAAUAAUCUGCUAAUAUCACACAUCUCCACUUGUUUUCAUUUUAAUUUUUAAAUCUAAACUAACAAAUAUCAUAUUAUAAAUCAUUCCUAUUAAUGACUAUAAGCGCUAUGUGGCACAUACAUGUAUAAAAAGAUGCAAAUCAGGGAAAGAUACACGACAAGUCACAUUGGUAGAUUUAACCAUGGUUUAUUUUAUAUUUAUUUUUAUACUUUUAGUAAAGUUUAUUGAGGUUGUUAAAGAAAACAGAAGUUUAAAGGUUUUUUGACAAAUAAUUGACAAGUUGAUUGGGUUUUUUGGUUAAUAACUCAAAAGUUUAUGUAUAUGUUAAAAUUUAUAUGCUUUAUGAAUUGUCGACAACAAUUUUAUAAUGAUUUUUUUAACCGAAAAAUAAUAGAUUCUUUACAACCCAAAACAAGUGCGAAGAAUGUCAUUAUCAUUUUGAAACGAAGGAAAGCUACAUCAUUCAUUAUUUAUAUUUAUUAUUUAUAUCUGUCCAAAAAUCUAAGAAGAAAUCACGAUACUAACGCUGCCAAUAUUGACUCUACCCUGGCCAGUUCUCGACACCAAAGCCACCACAAGAUUGUCAUCAUCCUCGGCUCCCAAGUCCUCCAAAAGCUCACUUAUUCCCAAACUCAACCGAGUUCUCACCUUCUUGCUCCUCGUCGCCGAAGGCACAUUCGAAAACGCCCCCGCAAACUCCGCAUUGCUAGGUCCGCUCUCGGCCUCAUCUUCGUCGUUCACAAAAACAUCAAACUUGACGUACUCGUUUGCAUUGUAUUCAAUCCCUUCGAUCACGAGUAUCUCCUCCUCGUCUUCCUUCUCUUGUUUACUUCUCGACUUCUUGGGCCGUGGCACCGUGAAUUUGACGAACUUGUCGAGCACGCUAGGGAAGAUUUGGUCAGCGUUCGGAAAGACUUUAGGGUUCGAGGGUGCAGCAUUUGUUAGCUUGGUAUUAUUUGUGGCAAUGUAUGAGGCUCCUGCUAGACCAAGAAGCACGUUUCUUCGAUCGAAUUUCAAGAUACUUUGAGUGUUGACAUUUUUAGACGUGAGAUCAGUGGUGGUUUUGUGAUCUUGGUUGGCCUUUAGGGUUGAUAAUGAUUUUCUGAUGUGGGAAUUAUGGUUUGUGUUUUUGUGGAGAUGUGGGAAUUGGAGAGGAAGAAUUGUAUUCAUUUUGUUGGGUUUUUUUUGUUGAAACAUUGGCUACAUUUUAUAGCAAAUAAUAUUUAAAGUUUCUUUUUUCGGUUUGAAAUUAAAUUUUGAAGCAUAAAGUCAAUGCGUAUCUAUCCAUCUAAUUAACAGGAAAUGU